rnacentral:rRNA from 2 species
AUGGAAGCUUGUAAACUUAGUGGCGGACGGGUGAGUAACACGUGAGCAACCUGCCUAUCAGAGGGGGAUAACGAUUGGAAACGAUCGCUAAUACCGCAUGACACAUAGAUGUCGCAUGGCAUUUAUGUCAAAGAUUUUAUCGCUGAUAGAUGGGCUCGCGUCCGAUUAGAUAGUUGGUGGGGUAACGGCCUACCAAGUCGACGAUCGGUAGCCGGACUGAGAGGUCGAACGGCCACAUUGGGACUGAGACACGGCCCAGACUCC